rnacentral:rRNA from 1 species
AUUGAACGCUGGCGGCAGGCCUAACACAUGCCAGUCGAGCGGAUGAAGGGAGCUUGCUCCUGGAUUCAGCGGCGGACGGGUGAGUAAUGCCUAGGAAUCUGCCUGGUAGUGGGGGAUAACGUCCGGAAACGGGCGCUAAUACCGCAUACGUCCUGAGGGAGAAAGUGGGGGAUCUUCGGACCUCACGCUAUCAGAUGAGCCCAGGUCGGAUUAGCUAGUUGGUGGGGUAAAGGCCUACCAAGGCGACGAUCCGUAACUGGUCUGAGAGGAUGAUCAGUCACACUGGAACUGAGACACGGUCCAGACUCCUACGGGAGGCAGCAGUGGGGAAUAUUGGACAAUGGGCGAAGGCCUGAUCCAGCCAUGCCGCGUGUGUGAAGAAGGUCUUCGGAUUGUAAAGCACUUUAAGUUGGGAGGAAGGGCAGUAAGUUAAUACCUUGCUGUUUUGACGUUACCAACAGAAUAAGCACCGGCUAACUUCGUG